rnacentral:lncRNA from 1 species
AUGAAAAAUUGCCCGAGACAUCCUGAUGGGAUUCCUCCUGCAUUCAUUCUGCCCUUAAGGUCUGGGAAUUCAGUGAACACAAAAAGAUUUCAUUAUUGCUUCCCUGAUGUAACCAGGAGGAUUUAAAUAACCGAUGGGGGUGGAUACUCCUUUCUUUCUGACCUGAACCUUAUUGCAAAACACCAAAGUGGAUAAAUGUAAAUUCUGAAGUUCCCUGGUUUUCUCCAGGACACACCCAGAAAGAUUCAUCACUCUGACAAAAGUUUAA